CUUGUGGUUUUUCUGCUGAUAUAUAAUUCAGAUUCAACUUUUAUCUCAGUUAAAGUAAGUAAUCAAACAAGUUCUCCUGGUUCUGUUCACAUUGAUAAUUUGGAUAAGUGAAGCUUUCAUGGCCCAAGACAUUGGUCAAUAAGUGGUUGAAUAUCAAGUGCAAAACUGAUAACUU